rnacentral:tRNA from 1 species
UCCCUGAUGGUCCAGUGGGUACGACUCUAUGCUUCCACUGCAGGGGGCACAGGUUCAAUCCCUGGUCAGGAAA